rnacentral:rRNA from 1 species
UUGAGAUUUUGGGUUAAGUUCCCGUAAACGAGCGCAACCCCUUUGCCCUAGGUUGCCAGCACGUAAUGUGGGAACUCUAGGGAGACGCCGAUGACAAACCGGAGGAAGGUGGGGAUGACGUCAAGUCAUCAUGGCCCUUAUCGGGCAGGGCUACACACGUGCUACAAUGGCACGGUAACAGAGGGCGGCAAACCCGCGAGGGGGAGCAAAUCUCACAAAACCGGUCGUAGUCCGGAUCGGAGNACUCGACUCCGUGAAGUCGGAAUCGCUAGUAAUCGCGAAUACANAACUGUCGCC